GGCGGCAUGGCUCAGGAGGUACAGAGCGGGCGGCCUAGGAAUCAGAAGGUUUCUGGUUCGAUCCCCGGCACCGCCA